rnacentral:rRNA from 1 species
GACGAACGCUGGCGGCGUGCUUAACACAUGCAAGUCGAACGAAGUGGCGAACGGGUGAGUAACGCGUCAUCAACCUGCCCUUCAGAGGGGGACAACAGUUGGAAACUACUGCUAAUACCGCAUACGGCAGGUGGGGAUUGCGUGUGAUUUGCUGGUUGGAGGGGUAACGGCCCACAAAGGCGAUGUGCAGUAGCCGGUCUGAGAGGAUGAACGGCCACAUUGGGACUGAGACAAGGCCCAGACUCCUACGGGAGGCAGCAGUGGGGAAUCGUCCGCAAUGGACGAAAGUCUGACGGAGCAACGCCGCGUGAGUGAGGACGGCCUUCGGGUUGUAAAGCUCUGUUAAUCGGGACGCGGUACCGGAAUAGAAAGCCACGGCUAACUACGUGCCAGCAGCCGCGGUAAUAC